CCUUCGGGAGCUUUUAUACAGGUGCUGCACGGCUGUCGUCAGCUCGUGUCGUGAGAUGUUGGGUUAAGUCCCGCAACGAGCGCAACCCUCGUCACUAGUUACUAACGGUUCGGCCGAGGACUCUAGUGAGACUGCCUUCGUAAGGAGGAGGAAGGUGAGGACGACGUCAAGUCAUCAUGGCCCUUACGGCUAGGGCAACACACGUGCUACAAUGGCCAGGACAGUGAGACGCGAUACCGCGAGGUGGAGCAAAUCUAUAAACCUGGUCUCAGUUCGGAUUGUAGUCUGCAACUCGACUACAUGAAGCUGGAAUCACUAGUAAUCGUAGAUCAGCUAUGCUACGGUGAAUACGUUCCCGGGUCUUGUACUCACCGCCCGUCACACCAUGGGAGUUGAUUUCACCCGAAGCGGGGAAGCUAAACUGGCUACCCUCCACGGUGGAAUCAGCGACUGGGGUGAAGUCGUAACAAGGUA
rnacentral:rRNA from 1 species